GUGCCAUUGAAAAGUUGCAGGCGAAGAAGUUGGACGUGUUGGGCCUUUAAUAAGGCGAAGUCGGCAUAAAAAUAUAAUAUUCAAUGUGUGGGCAGCAACUAUCAAAGCCAAAAAGGACAAUUGAUAGCGCUAGAAAAAUCGAUGUGAAGUGUCUUUAAAUAAAUCGCUUGCGAUAUCAUAAUUGCAGAAAAAGUAUAGUGAAAACAGCCUAAACAUAAAAAUAUACAUACAACGUUAAAUUAAAAUUAUUAAACUAAAGUUAUUACGUAGAUUUCGAAGAAUUUAACAAAUUAGCGCGCGUCGUCACACCCAUACAUAUGCACAUAGUGGAUAAAAGGAAAUCUAAAUUCAAAUAGAUUUUAAACUUUUGUUCCCCGGUAGAGAGGACGCAUUGUCCGGUAAAUGGGAAAAUUUUAAGGAAAAAAUAUCUUUUUACUAUGAAUCAAAUAUUCAUAGCCCUAGCUGCAGGGAACUGCUUAAAACUUCAACCAAAGCGGAGAAUAUUGAUUCGUCAGAUUUUAUUUUCACUAUUCUGUUACCGUCGGUGCUACCAUCGAAUACCUGAGUUUCAUCAAAAACAUCAAGGACUAGGACAAAAAAUAUUUUCUACUCGUAUACAGAAAUCUGUAAAAUAAUUAUAAGUGUAAUUGUAUUAUAUGUAUCUUCCAGCAAACCAUUAUGAAAAAUAAAUGUUUAAAUA